rnacentral:rRNA from 1 species
GCUUGCUACCUGACCUAGCGGCGGACGGGUGAGUAAUGCUUAGGAAUCUGCCUAUUAGUGGGGGACAACAUUCCGAAAGGAAUGCUAAUACCGCAUACGCCCUACGGGGGAAAGCAGGGGAUCUUCGGACCUUGCGCUAAUAGAUGAGCCUAAGUCAGAUUAGCUAGUUGGUGGGGUAAAGGCCUACCAAGGCGACGAUCUGUAGCGGGUCUGAGAGGAUGAUCCGCCACACUGGGACUGAGACACGGCCCAGACUCCUACGGGAGGCAGCAGUGGGGAAUAUUGGACAAUGGGCGAAAGCCUGAUCCAGCCAUGCCGCGUGUGUGAAGAAGGCCUUUUGGUUGUAAAGCACUUUAAGCGAGGAGGAGGCUACUUAGAUUAAUACUCUAGGAUAGUGGACGUUACUCGCAGAAUAAGCACCGGCUAACUCUGUGCCAGCAGCCGCGGUAAUACAGAGGGUGCGAGCGUUAAUCGGAUUUACUGGGCGUAAAGCGUGCGUAGGCGGCUUCUUAAGUCGGAUGUGAAAUCCCUGAGCUUAACUUAGGAAUUGCAUUCGAUACUGGGAAGCUAGAGUAUGGGAGAGGAUGGUAGAAUUCCAGGUGUAGCGGUGAAAUGCGUAGAGAUCUGGAGGAAUACCGAUGGCGAAGGCAGCCAUCUGGCCUAAUACUGACGCUGAGGUACGAAAGCAUGGGGAGCAAACAGGAUUAGAUACCCUGGUAGUCCAUGCCGUAAACGAUGUCUACUAGCCGUUGGGGCCUUUGAGGCUUUAGUGGCGCAGCUAACGCGAUAAGUAGACCGCCUGGGGAGUACGGUCGCAAGACUAAAACUCAAAUGAAUUGACGGGGGCCCGCACAAGCGGUGGAGCAUGUGGUUUAAUUCGAUGCAACGCGAAGAACCUUACCUGGUCUUGACAUAGUAAGAACUUUCCAGAGAUGGAUUGGUGCCUUCGGGAACUUACAUACAGGUGCUGCAUGGCUGUCGUCAGCUCGUGUCGUGAGAUGUUGGGUUAAGUCCCGCAACGAGCGCAACCCUUUUCCUUAUUUGCCAGCGGGUUAAGCCGGGAACUUUAAGGAUACUGCCAGUGACAAACUGGAGGAAGGCGGGGACGACGUCAAGUCAUCAUGGCCCUUACGACCAGGGCUACACACGUGCUACAAUGGUCGGUACAAAGGGUUGCUACCUAGCGAUAGGAUGCUAAUCUCAAAAAGCCGAUCGUAGUCCGGAUUGGAGUCUGCAACUCGACUCCAUG